rnacentral:misc_RNA from 1 species
GCAAACUUGGUCAUUUAGAGGAAGUAAAAGUCGUAACAAGGUUUCCGUAGGUGAACCUGCGGAAGGAUCAUUAUUGAAUAAACUUGAUGUGGGGUUGUAGCUGAUUCUUCGGAGUAUGUGCUCGCCUCCAUCAUCUUUGUCUUUCCACCUGUGCACACUUUGUAGACUUUGGAUUACCUUCUGAAUUGCAGUUGUGAGGAAUGCUUUUUGUUAUUAAAGGCUUUCCUUUUUGGUGUCCUUGUCUAUGUCUUUUCUAUAUACUCCAAUGAAUGUUAACAGAAUGUAAAGACUAGGCCUUUUUAAUGCCUAUAAAUAAUUAUAUACAACUUUCAGCAAUGGAUCUCUUGGCUCUCGCAUCGAUGAAGAACGCAGC